rnacentral:rRNA from 1 species
GACGAACGCUGGCGGCGCGCCUAACACAUGCAAGUCGAACGAGAGAUGAGGAGCUUGCUCUUCAAAUCGAGUGGCGAACGGGUGAGUAACGCGUGAGGAACCUGCCUCAAAGAGGGGGACAACAGUUGGAAACGACUGCUAAUACCGCAUAAGCCCACGGCUCGGCAUCGAGCAGAGGGAAAAGGAGCAAUCCGCUUUGAGAUGGCCUCGCGUCCGAUUAGCUAGUUGGUGAGGUAACGGCCCACCAAGGCGACGAUCGGUAGCCGGACUGAGAGGUUGAACGGCCACAUUGGGACUGAGACACGGCCCAGACUCCUACGGGAGGCAGCAGUGGGGAAUAUUGCACAAUGGGGGAAACCCUGAUGCAGCGACGCCGCGUGGAGGAAGAAGGUCUUCGGAUUGUAAACUCCUGUUGUUGAGGAAGAUAAUGACGGUACUCAAC